UACGUAGGUGGCAAGCGUUGUCCGGAUUUACUGGGCGUAAAGAGCGCGCAGGCGGUCGUUCAAGUCGCGUGUGAAAGCCCCCGGCUCAACUGGGGAGGGUCACGCGAUACUGAUCGACUCGAAGGCAGGAGAGGGAAGUGGAAUUCCCGGUGUAGUGGUGAAAUGCGUAGAUAUCGGGAGGAACACCAGUGGCGAAGGCGACUUCCUGGCCUGUUCUUGACGCUGAGGCGCGAAAGCCAGGGUAGCGAACGGG
rnacentral:rRNA from 1 species